ACUUUUGGCGGCCAAAUUAAAUCCCAAAAUGUAAAAAUGUCAGUAAGAAUUUCAGGCAAAAAUGCCCUCUUUAGACGAAAGUAAUAUCUUUCAAGAUACUUUAGAGUAUUUUGUUAACGGGGGGAAAAUAAAGAAAAGAGGCAAUGUUGAACUGUCCCUUGCCCUGAAGACUCUGGAAGAUGUUUCCAAAAGUAAAGGCUUAACUACUGAGGACAUCAUCAGCUUGAUCAAGGUUGCUGCCAGUGGUUAUCAUGGUGAUGUUAUAAGUUGCAAGCUGAUAAAAUGCCUGGUUCCGGCCUCACAGUUUCCUGUGCGAGCUGUGGAGUUGGGUUUGUCCUUCAUGUGUACAAGUAAACCAUCCAACAAAGUACAGGCUACACUUCUGAGGUUGCUAAUAGCAGUGUAUGACUACAUAGAUGAAAAGGAGACUGUCCAAAAACUAGGCUACCUGUUGUUUUAUUUCAUUGAGAAUACUGUCCUGACACCAUACGUCUGUCAUCUGCUGUACCUGUUAACAAGGAAAGAAGAUGUUCGACUUUAUAGGGUCCGAAAGCUGCUGGAGCUACAAACUAAACUUGGCCCACAACCCUACCUGAUUGGUUUGUUGUCAAUAUACAAACUGUACUUUCCAAAUUUGGUGUCUAUAGUCAUUCCUAAUACUAGAAAGCAAUUUUUUCCGACCAGAGAUCGACAGUGGUACGCUGUGAUCAAGGAAGUACAGGAAAGAAACCAAGCUGCCGACACAGCUCACAUGAAGUCGUCCCUGGAAUUAUCGGAGAAGCUACAGGCUGCUGAACUCUCCAUGCUUCAUGGAAUACCGCCUGCAAAGAGAAGAAAGGUGGAUCCUAUUCCAGUGGUGCACUCGAGCAGUUCCAAACUGACCGUCAAGCUGUCCAGUCGACUGAUGGCCAUGCUGGAGGAGAAACCGCUGCCCUUCGUCCAGAUACAGAACAUUGAAACCUUGUUAAAGAAUCCAGACAGAGUAGAGUUGCCGAGUCAGAUGGGAGCCGCUCUCCGGAGUCCCUUACUGCAAUGCUUCAUGUCUUACAAUGCUGACCCUCUCAUGACGAGUCGAUUCUCUUACUGGAUCCAGGACACUCUGUGUGAGAAAUUACUAUAUAGCACUCAAACUCCAGCCUGCUUCCCAGAAAUUGAGUCCAUACUGAAGAAAUUGAUACAGUUCACUGAAUUUAUUCAGGAAGGCAUACCAGUGGUAGAUAAGGUCUUAUUUCGAUAUCUUCAGAUCUGGAACGGACUUGAUUUCAGACAAGAAAUCUUCAGACUUGUGUCUAGGUGUAGACUCUAUCCUUUUUCAGUGUUGAAUGAGAACAUUUUAGAGCCUCUAAGGAAGCUGUUUGUCAGAACAUCAGUGUUCAUUAAGGUCAGUGAUGCUGUGUUUGAGCCAGCUUUUACAGAACUAUGCGAUGGUGGAAAUCCCAAGAUACAAUCAGAAAUAUCCGGAGGCUAAGCCGGGAAUCUCGGUGUUUGAGGACGACAUUGGGAUGUUUGACCCCCUGACCUCAGUGAUAGAGCUGAUUGGCUAUGUGGAUAGACUAGCCAGUGUGGGACUGGCGCUGGAAAACGAUCACAACAUCCUUCUCCACUUCACACUCAGCUUCUAUGAGUUGGUGUCCACGCUGCAUGCCAGAUAUGGCCUUCCGUUUGUGUAUUUGCCCAGUCGACACAUGAUCAGAGCUCUUCUGUGUGACAACGCCACGGGUCCUGCUAGACUGUGUGGAGUUAUUAACAGCUAUAAGAGUAACUGUCAGAUGUUGAAGGAUGACGCGACCAAUAAUGAGAUAGAAAUCCCAGGAUACCAGAAGAAGGAGACGAUUCAUAGCCUCAACAUCCUCAUCCUGGACCUCUGUGAUUCUCUGUGGAGAAGGAAGGCCUUCAGUCACGGCAGAAAUAACUCCUAUCUGAACUUUGACCUGGAGCAUCUGGCCACAGAAGCCAGUGAUGGGCUCUCUCUGUACCUGCAUCAGGCCUUCCUGCCAUUCGCUUUGUUAUUUCUGAAGGAGACACAGCCAAAAGAAAAUAUUGGUCAUCCAAAAGGAAUCAAAAAUGUUCGGGACAUGUUUAUGGAGUUUUUGCAAAGGGAAAACAUUGGUGAAAUAAAGGAUUUUAUUUUAAACACAAUUACACGAUACAGGAACUCAACUUCGGACACCAAGAACAAAGUCUAGCUAACCUUACCAUUCAUCACUAAAUUCGUUUCUUGGAGGUGGAAACAUCAUUACCGUCUGGGGACAAUUCUUUAAAAAUUGUGAACAAAUAGCUUAACGAUGAAUGAGAAUUUAGAUAUUAAGAUAUUAUCAUAAUAUUUCCAGUCAAUAUUUAUUAGUUUAUUUUUUAGUUGGCCGGUUUAUAAUAAUGCCUUGUUGUUGCCACACAAGCUAAGAAAAUCUUUGUGCUAACCUGAUCUUGUAAUGGGUAGACAAAAAUCAAAUGCUUGUUGUCCAUUGUAUUACAUCAAGUUUUACCUUUUUUUUCAUAUUGUUACACUACCUGAAAGAAACACUAUUGAUAUGAAUUUUCAGGUGCUUUUGAUCAUGUGCCUAUUUAUUCUUUGAAUCUCAUUUUAAUAAAUGUACAGUGAAUCCCAUUU
rnacentral:misc_RNA from 1 species